rnacentral:rRNA from 1 species
CGGACGGGUGAGUAACGCGUGGGUAACCUGCCUCAUACAGGGGGAUAACAGUUAGAAAUGACUGCUAAUACCGCAUAAGCGCACGGGACUGCAUGGUCUUGUGUGAAAAACUCCGGUGGUAUGAGAUGGACCCGCGUCUGAUUAGCUGGUUGGCGGGGUAACGGCCCACCAAGGCGACGAUCAGUAGCCGGCCUGAGAGGGUGAACGGCCACAUUGGGACUGAGACACGGCCCAAACUCCUACGGAAGGCAGCAG